rnacentral:rRNA from 1 species
UUUAACUCUGGCGGUAGGCCUAACACAUGCAAGUCGAACGGCAGCACAGUAAGAGCUUGCUCUUACGGGUGGCGAGUGGCGGACGGGUGAGGAACACAUCGGAAUCUACUUUUUCGUGGGGGAUAACGUAGGGAAACUUACGCUAAUACCGCAUACGACCUACGGGUGAAAGCAGGGGAUCUUCGGACCUUGCGCGAUUGAAUGAGCCGAUGUCGGAUUAGCUAGUUGGCGGGGUAAAGGCCCACCAAGGCGACGAUCCGUAGCUGGUCUGAGAGGAUGAUCAGCCACACUGGAACUGAGACACGGUCCAGACUCCUACGGGAGGCAGCAGUGGGGAAUAUUGGACAAUGGGCGCAAGCCUGAUCCAGCCAUACCGCGUGGGUGAAGAAGGCCUUCGGGUUGUAAAGCCCUUUUGUUGGGAAAGAAAAGCAGCAGGUUAAUACCCCGCUGUUCUGACGGUACCCAAAGAAUAAGCACCGGCUAACUUCGUG